rnacentral:tRNA from 2 species
GGGCGGUUAGCUCAGUGGUUAGAGCGCCUGUUUUACACACAGGAGGUCAGAGGUUCAAGUCCUCUACCGCCCACCA